ACAAAUUAUUAUGUGCUAUUACACAAAUCUUGAUUUUUUAAAUUAUCUAUAUGAUUGUAGAUUAAUUAGCUACUAGAAUACUGUCUUUCUAAGCAAUACAAAAUUUAGAUUUUGUCAAUAUCGGUUUAUCAGUGAUGUGAUAUCCGGGGUGUGACAAUUCAGCACUUUUCCAUGAUUGACAUUGGAGCAGAAGACAACUGCUGCUUGCCUUUAUCUAUGUUUAUAUCUGGUCACGUGCAUCACGUGUUUUUCGAAAACUUGAGAAUAUUAAAAAUCCAUAUUAGUCGAUGCGAUAAAAUAAACACAAGUUAAAAUAUAAAAACCGUGCUUGUGCCUCAGUGUUAUGAUGUGCCUUCAAGACGGUAAUUACGGUAUAAUUAUGGCUUAAAACCCCGCAAACAUGUAAAGGUGAUACCGCUGUUCUGGACUUGAAGCAUUGAAGUCGCUAGGGAUCACGUGAGAAAACCACACACGAAAAAGGUUCGCAUAAGAGACAAGCAAGGUUGUCUGAACCUAAUUAUUCUUCUAUUAAUGUAAAACUAUUAUCUGUAUUUUUUUAUUUUUACCAA